rnacentral:tRNA from 1 species
GCCAGAGUGGCGAAAUUGGUAGACGCAGCGGAUUCAAAAUCCGCCGGUGGCAACACUGUGCCGGUUCAAGUCCGGCCUCUGGUA